CAGUCGUACCUGCGGGUAAUCAGCCUUUUGGGCAUGAUUCUGUGGAGCGUGAGGAGUUAAACGCCUUCAUGCCUGCAUAUUCGUGUACUUUGGGUGUACUUGCCUGUGUGGUUAGUUAACAUCAAUUUUGGUUAUCAUAAAAUGGUUGGAGGAAUGUAGCUUCGAUUUCGAUUGAAGUGUUAUAGCCUUCGGCAGAUGUGAUGAUCGGGAUUGAGGAUUGCAACGGAUACCCUUCGGGGCUACCUGUCUGGUCUCUGAUCGUUGCUCUGGUGCCGAAAGCGUGCUUACGGUUAUCAAAGUCGAUGGUCAACAGGUUAGAAUGGGUUAAA
rnacentral:rRNA from 1 species